GCAUAAGUAGUAUAGCGGUAGAAUACUUGCCUUCCAAAGAUUAUUCUGGUUGAAAGCAAGUGGCCGGGGUUCGACUCCCCGCUUAUGCA